UACGGAGGGUGCAAGCGUUAUCCGGAAUCACUGGGUUUAAAGGGUGCGUAGGCGGCCUGGUAAGUCAGAGGUGAAAGCUCGCAGCUCAACUGUGGAAUUGCCUUUGAUACUGUCAGGCUUGAAUUAGGCUGAGGUAGGCGGAAUGUGGCAUGUAGCGGUGAAAUGCUUAGAUAUGCCAUAGAACACCAAUUGCGAAGGCAGCUUACUAGACCUAUAUUGACGCUGAGGCACGAAAGCGUGGGGAGCGAACAGG
rnacentral:rRNA from 1 species